GCUGAUUAGCUCGCCGACACACCCGGAUUAAAACCCCAACAUAUAUACCCCAACAAACCUUUAAAAAAAUCAACAAACCAUUUUUCCUCCUUAGUAUAGGCGAUAGAAAAGGAAAUACCGAGCAAUAGAAAAAGUACCGUAAGGGAAAGCUGAAAAAGAAGUGAAACAAGUCAUUCAAGCCUUGAAAAGCAGAGACAGAACCUCGUACCUUUUGCAUCAUGAUUUAGCUAGUAAAUCCGAGCAAAGAGCACUUUAGUCCGGACCCCCGAAACUAGACGAGCUACUCCGGGACAGCCUAACAUAGGGCCAACCCAUCUCUGUGGCAAAAGAGUGGGAAGAUCCCCGAGUAGAGGUGACAAGCCUACCGAGUUUAGUUAUAGCUGGUUGCUUAAGAAAUGAAUAGAAGUUCAGCUCUAUGGGCCUCUCAAUACCCUUAAGGUAAAACUAAUUUUGUUUACAAGAGCCCAAAGAAGUUAAUCAAAAGAGGUACAGCUCUUUUGAACAAGGACACAACCUUAACAGGUGUUUAAGGAUCAUAAUUACUAAGGCACCUGUUACAGUGGGCCUAAGAGCAGCCACCUAUGUAGAAAGCGUUAAAGCUCAGACAGAUACCAGCUCUUAUUCUGAUAGACAUCCCAACCCCUAAUAUUAUUAAGCCCUUCCAUUCCCAUGGAAAAGAUUAUGCUAAAAUGAGUAAUAAGAGGGAACAACCCUCUCCUGGCACCUGUGUAAGUCGGGCCGGACCCCCCACCGAUUCUUAACGAACCCAAACCAAGAGUGUAUUGUAAACCCAAACAAGAAAAAUCUACAUAAACCAAUCGUUAACUCCACACUGAUGUGCACCCAAGGAAAGACCUAAAGAAAGAGAAGGAACUCGGCAAACACAAGCCUCGCCUGUUUACCAAAACACCGCCUCUUGUCUCCCAAACAUAAGAGGUCCCGCCUGCCCUGUGACUAUACGUUUAACGGCCGCGGUAUUUUAACCGUGCGAAGGUAGCGCAAUCACUUGUCUUUUAAAUGAAGACCUGUAUGAAUGGCAUCACGAGGGCUUAGCUGUCUCCUCUUUCAAGUCAAUGAAAUUGAUCUGCCCGUGCAGAAGCGGACAUAAGAACAUAAGACGAGAAGACCCUAUGGAGCUUUAGACACCCGGCAGACCCUGUUAAAUAACUGAACUAUCAGAUUAAAACAAAGCGGCCCCUGGCCUACAUGUCUUCGGUUGGGGCGACCACGGGGGAAAACAAAGCCCCCACGAGGAUUAAGGAAAACCUCCUUAUAACCACGAGCGACAGCUCUAAGUCUCAGAACUUCUGACCAAAAAGAUCCGACACCAGUCGAUCAACGGACCAAGUUACCCUAGGGAUAACAGCGCAAUCCCCUCCCAGAGUCCCUAUCGACGAGGGGGUUUACGACCUCGAUGUUGGAUCAGGACAUCCUAAUGGUGCAGCCGCUAUUAAGGGUUCGUUUGUUCAACGAUUAAAGUCCUACGUGAUCUGAGUUCAGACCGGAGUAAUCCAGGUCAGUUUCUAUCUAUGAAGUAAUCUUUCCCAGUACGAAAGGACCGGAAAGAUGAGGCCCCUGCAAAAGUAUGCCCCACCCCCACCUAAUGAAAACAACUAAAAUAGACAAGGGGGCACGCCACAACUGCCGAAAAGAACCGCGC
ensembl:Mt_rRNA